rnacentral:lncRNA from 1 species
AUUUGAGAUUCCGGAAAGUUAGCGUUUUGGCUUGACUUGUGGUGUGGGGAUGAGAAUGUCCAUGGUGAUAGCCAGGUGGUCGGAGAUGGUGAGGUCAGAGCUGGACAGAUUGCUGAUGGUGAUGCCGGUGGUGCCGACAAGGUCCAGAGUGUGUCUUUUUUUAUGUGCAUGAGAAUCUACAUGUUGGGUGAAGUUGAAGAUGUUGAAGAUGUCCAGGAAUUCUGCAGAGAUUUUGGAGUCGGAUGAGUCGACAUGUAUGUUGAAGUCACCGAGUAGCAGAAUGGAGAGAAUGAUGGCAUAGAGUCAUAGGCGUCGAUUACGCCGGGGACGCGUCCCCACCAGUUUUCGUAAAGACUAAUUUUGUCCCCACCAGAAAAAAAAAAAAAUGAAAAAUGAAAAAAGAAAAUAUAUAUAGUUUUUUAAAAAUGAAUGUUUAUAGCGCGAGACAGAUGCGAACCAAUCCACAAAAAAACGAUCUGCAUACGACACACAGGCCAGCCGUCAACAAUUUCUAACAAUUAUAACAUUUGGAUGAGUAGUUCUAGAAUGGGGGAGGGGUGGGUGGUACGGUGGGCGGCUCCUUCUCUGUGUAAUCUGAACCUGACUGCUUGCUGCGCACUUCCAUGGACAAUCUGCUGCGGUUGCAGCCUCAUGCAUUUGAGGAAAGGAGGUCCAGAGGAGGAACUUGUUUCUGCCAACUCACCUCUUCAUUGCCAUCUACCAGUUCCUGCCUUUCAUUAAGCUCUGAUGUUCCUUAUAAAUAAAUAAAAAUGUGUUAACUCAAUUGAUUAUGCCCUCUAUUUUAUGAGAUUUAUGUGGUGUGCAAACAAAAGUCUUGUAACCUUUAUUGUAAUGAUUUGACCACUAUGACGGUAUGUUGGUUGUGGUAUAUGUUAUCAAUAUUGUAAUUGGUUUUUGACAAAAUAUUGGUUUGGAGUGUGCGGUUGCCUGGUACCAUGGUUGUUACUUGGUACAAAUAAUAUGGAUGAUUUACGACCAUCUAGUGGGGAGUCUGAAAACUGCUAACGAAACGUCAUUGAAGUGAAAAUAAAAUAAAUCAUUCGUACUGUUGUAAAUUCAAAAUGAAUUUAAAUAGGAAAGCUAAACGUUGAAGCACAUAGGGCAAAACACUACAGUAGCACUAGGCAUGCUAGCCAACAGUGUGUCGCGCUGGUAGAGGCUAGCUAGCUAAAAAAACCUCAAGAAUUACAAUAUAUUUCUAGAAUAAAUAUUAAUUUAGCUGAGCUCAUAAGACACUAGCACACUUACUGUGCAUGUCAGCUUCAAUUGCUUGGCUUUAAAAAAAGCUCUGAUGUCCUGUCCACUCCUUUUUGACAUUUUGCUGUAUAAUUAACUAGGUAGGAUCAGAGAAUGUCGGGCUCUGGUUGUAUCGCUAUCUCGUCUUUUUUCAGUUGUGACUAGAUGUCCCCUCUGCGGCACCGUAGUUGUGGAUUAUUUUCGUAUGAGGUGCCAGCCUAGCCUAGUUCUACCAGACUCUCGUACUUCACUUCAUUUCAUUUCAUUUGUACAGAGAGUCUGGACCUAAUCAAUUGACAAACGUUAACUCACUUGAAGGCGGGUGUCUGUUGAAGUUUAAAAUGGUUGGAUGCCACUCUGGAUCUGCCAUAACCAAUCGCUAACGUUUGGUUGUGACGUAUGUCAUGCGCCGGGAAUCACGCGCAGGUUGUACACAAACCAAACACCUUGCGCGUCUGCACGAAAAUGUCCGUCAACGACAGCUGCAGGUUUUGUUCGUCGAAUUUAAUUUAUCAGGGAAAAAUUGCACAUUGUAAAUCAACUACCGACCUACAACAACAACUCAAACUGGCGUACGACUUUAUCGUCAUUGUUCUCAGACACGCCCUCUGUUCGCUGAUUGGUGGCCGCUGUGGCGGCACCAGAAAACAAUAGUUAUGUUAUUAUAACUCUAGUUCUAUGAUUGUAGGCGUAGCCGUCUAGGCUUCGCCUUAAGGGCUUGUCCCGUGAAAAUUCAAACUAUGCACCUAUCAGCGUGGGCACCGCCCACAUUUCCCACGGUAUCGUGUCUAUAUAACGCGGUGUAUACCGUCGCUCAUCCUCCACGCUUUUCUUUCAGCAUUUGGAGGGUACAGCAGGUGGGAAACUAGACGGCUACGCCUACAAUCAUAGAACUAGAGUUAUAAUAACAUAACUAUCGUUCUAUUUCAUGUAGGCUACGCCGUCUAGGCUUCGCCUUAUGGGCUAAGGUGAAGCUGCGAGCGGAGCCCGAUCAAUGUACUCCUGCUGGACCCCAGUCAAAACGACCUAAGUCACCAGAGCACAUUAAGACUCAAAAAGCCAAGGAAGUGUAAACACAACAGCUUUAUAAAAACUAAUUC